UACCAGCCGUGCUGGUCAACGUGCAUCCAUUUAACAGAUAUUUAUUGCACAUGUUGUGUCCUGAGCACUCGAGGUGGGAGCCGGAGAAGCAGCGCAAAGCUGAGGGAUCCCUGUGCAAGUUACAGUCAAGAGGUGCAGGGUCCACUCUGAACCUCGGCUUCUUUUUCUGUAAGUGGGGAGCUUGGGAAGAUGGCAGCGCCCCUCAGAAGUCCUUCUCCUCCACCCGCGGCGAAGCCCCGCCUCCAGGAGAAAGGAGGCACCGGAGGAGACCCCAGGGAGAGCCGGGGUGCCGCUGCUGGUGGAGUGGCCCCCUGAGGUCAUCUCCCCACCCUGGGCCUCGGUUUCCCCGUCGGUAAAGUGAGGAGACUGGACUGCACGAUUUCAAAAACUCGUCUGACUUAACCGUCUGUGACUCUCCGAUCGAAAUAUCUCUGAUUCUGCUAGGAGAACCCCUUGUGGCUCCAGGAAGGACCAUCCCCCUGUUCUGGGAGCAGAUCUUCUCCUGAAAAGCAGCAGAAAGGGACUCACUUCUUGCCAGGGGGAAGAACCCUGAGCUCCAUCUGGCUGCUCUUCGCUGUUGGGAGCUGAAAUCCGCAAAGGACUCCCAGCUGCACACCCCGCUCAGGUGGCUGGCCUGAUGCGCACGGUCUUCCCACACCCGGCUCUGCCUUCCCCAGCGGCUGCGACUGAGAAACGGGCAGAUGGGGGUCCUCAUCUGAAGACCUUUCGGCAUCAGUCCUAGUGGGUGCUGCGUCCCAGGUCACCCCUCGGCCUGCCUGGAGCUGUGUGGAAAUCCCAGCAGACCCGGGCCAGGGGGAGCAGGCUCUGCUUGGAAACAGCACAGGGGGCUGGGGCUGGAAGGCACGGUUCCCCUAGGACCCGGUCAUCGCAUCCCACGAGCAGCAUUUACUCUGACUGAAGACAUGG